GUCUACGGCCAUACCACCCUGAACGCACCCGAUCUCAUCUGAUCUCGUAAGCUAAGCAGGGUCGGGCCUGGUUAGUACUUGGAUGGGAGAAUGCAGAUAUUAAAAAGC
rnacentral:rRNA from 1 species